rnacentral:rRNA from 1 species
GAUGAACGCUGGCGGCGUGCCUAAUACAUGCAAGUCGAGCGAACAGAUGAGGAGCUUGCUCCUCUGACGUUAGCGGCGGACGGGUGAGUAACACGUGGAUAACCUACCUAUAAGACUGGGAUAACUUCGGGAAACCGGAGCUAAUGCCGGAUAAUAUAUUGAACCGCAUGGUUCAAUAGUGAAAGACGGUUUUGCUGUCACUUAUAGAUGGAUCCGCGCCGCAUUAGCUAGUUGGUAAGGUAACGGCUUACCAAGGCAACGAUGCGUAGCCGACCUGAGAGGGUGAUCGGCCACACUGGAACUGAGACACGGUCCAGACUCCUACGGGAGGCAGCAGUAGGGAAUCUUCCGCAAUGGGCGAAAGCCUGACGGAGCAACGCCGCGUGAGUGAUGAAGGUCUUCGGAUCGUAAAACUCUGUUAUUAGGGAAGAACAAAUGUGUAAGUAACUAUGCACGUCUUGACGGUACCUAAUCAGAAAGCCACGGCUAACUACGUG